ACGUAGAAAUCUCCCUCAACUAGGGUUGUUGCACGUCCAAAAUUCCUUCAGUUUCAUUCCCUUUAUAUCUUUCCCACAUACAAGCAGUUUGGAAACUACCACUCUCAAUUUAUCAAGUCGCGACACCCUCUCGCGUCAAACCAGACCAACCAACGGUCACCACCCAUUCAACCUUCUCGGUCCCUUCCUCACUGCCCAAUGGCCAUCAUAAAACGUCCUAUCAAGCCCCAUGUUGUUGCCAUCCUCACCAAAAUCCACACUCCUCUGCUGUAGCACUUGGUUAGGACGAGAGAAAGAAAACCAACCCACCACACAGCCUUUCAUCAAGGCCAAAGAAGCCCACGCACAUCACAUGAAAAACAUCGAAUGGCAUAGCCAUCAUCCACGUCCAACACAGCCACAAUUGCACUACUGCCAACCACCUGUCCAGUAAGAAAGCCGAUCACUCCCUUCUCAGUAACAAAACCCCGUUGCAGCAUCAACCAACUCCACCCAGUCAAUAUCGCAGCCCACAACACGAAAGCUUGUGUUUUUAAGAAAUAAAAAACAAAGCAAGGCCCACUCCCUCGUACGCCGUCCGUGAUUCUUCGAUUGCCACACCAAUGGAUGCUAGUUUCACAUCAGAUGCUUCACCACGGCCACCAUCCGCUAGCACCUCCAAAAGCCAACCACUAAGAGCCACUACCUUACACAAUCACUUGCACCAAGAACUCAACAAGCCUCUAUUUUUAGCAAUCUUAUCAGAGCAAUCGGAACACUACAAACCAACAACUACCACUAUCUCUAGUGUUGCACAUGACCGGGCAGCCACCACUACCGAGACUACAUGGUGAUGAUCAAUAUUCCCUUAGCACUGUUGUGAGAAAAUUCAGAGAAAUUAAAGAGUCAGGUGAUAAUAGUGGUAUACUGCCCUACCAUGAGUGAUAAUAGUGGUAUACGACAUUGCCACAGGUGAUAAUAGUGAUAUGUGACCCUGUCACGGGUGAUAGCAAUAGUAUACGCCUGCCACAGGUGAUAAUAGUGGUAUACACCCUUAUCACAUGUUAUAGUAGUGACCUCUGUUUGAGUGCACACUCUUUGGUAACAGAGUAAUUUAUGCUCUGCUUGACUAUUCGCAGAUGCACAACCCUACCACGGGGGUUAAAUAUGACCUUUAAUCUGAUAUGAUACUUUGUCAUGAUAAUGAUGAUGCUCAGUUACACUAUGACAAAUGACUUUUGAAUAAGAAUAUUUCUAAAGUUUCGCUUUGAUAUUCUCAUUAACAUGUUAUGAUUUCCGUACUCUGAAAGUAAAAUUGUUUUGUUAUGCAUUCUGAACUCUGUAAAUGCUCAUGUUUACAUACUAGUAUAUGUUUUCUACUUACUGAGUUGUUGAU